GACGAGCCUCACAAACGUUAUUCGGAAUUACUGGGCUUAAAGGGUGCGUAGGCGGCGCGGAAAGUUGGGUGUGAAAUCCCUCGGCUUAACCGAGGAACUGCCCUCCAAACUGCUUCGCUUGAGACCGGGAGAGGUGAGUGGAAUUCCCAGUGUAGCGGUGAAAUGCGUAGAUAUUGGGAGGAACACCAGUGGCGAAGGCGGCUCACUGGACCGGUACUGACGCUGAUGCGCGAAAGCGUGGGGAGCAAACGGG
rnacentral:rRNA from 1 species